ACGAUGAAACGCGCAUUUGCGCAUCAUCUUCAUACCUCCCUGUUGGACUUCGGCCGAGCUUUGUGCUCGGCCUUUUUUCU
rnacentral:ncRNA from 1 species